CGCGAGGGAAAGAUCAGCGUUGCUGCAGCCACCGCAGGACACCCACCAUGCGCGUACCAUACAGGCAGCAGCAGCCUCACUUCACCUUGGAUGACAUGACGAUUAUGAAAUAUUCAGUCAUCCCCCUUGGGUCUACCUGUUAGAAACUUGGACCUACUCAUGUGUUUGAGGUAAUGCUUGAAUAAAAUAGCUAUGCAAAUUUUUAUUUUUUUUCAGAUGGAUGAGGAGUGCUUAAAGAAAAGAUCUACUCUAUGGUUGUUUCUCUGCAGAUGAUUGUGCAGAAAAGAUGAAAAACGGGAUAAAAUUCUAUGUGAGAGAUGACCGCUAAAGGUACUUAAUUUUGGUAGAUAAUGUUGUGUGCAGAUUUCUUUCUACAAGAUGUGGGUGUAAAUUCUUAUUGUUGCAAUGAUGCAGUAGCAGUGCCGCAAGGUCGACAAUUUUUUACUUCCAUAUAUUCAGUCCUUGCAUGCAUUUUCUGAGUAUGUUCACGAUUAGUAUGCAGGUUAUUUGUUUCCCCAGUGUGGACCGCGACAUAGGGAAAUAUUAGCAUUGCUUCAACCAUGGCAAGACACCCACCAUGCGUGCACCUUACAAGUUGCAGCAGCUUCACUUGGUUGCCAAUGACAUAUCGAGUAUAAAAUAGAUAGCUAGCUGCAAGCAUUGCUGCUCCCCGCCCGACAGAGCAAACUUUUGCAACAUGCCCUUUUCUCAUCUGCCCCAUUCCAGCCAUCCCUCCAUCUACCUGUUGGACUUGCUCACCUUGUGUUUGGGGUAAUGCCUAAUGAAAAUAGAUAGCGAUGAUUAUUUCUUUUCACAUGAUUGUGGUGAUUUAAAACCUAAGAAAAUAUCCUUUGGUGCUGAAUUUAGGAUACAGUGCAUGACAUAUUAUUAAAUCCCAUACAACAGAGUCUUAGGUAUUUUAUUUUCUGACCAAAUUAUGAUUUUUACUGCAAAAUCAAAUUAUGAAUCAAACUGCUUUCACUUAUAUUCUGCCAAAUUUGUUCCAUCUAUAGGAAUGUACAUGGAGAUUAUCUAUAAGGGUUAUGUCCCGUGCAAGGAGAUUAUCUUAUAGGACAGGCAUAUCAGCCCCCAUUCAGACAUAGCAGAUAUUCAACAGAAGAAGUUCCUCCACUGCUACUGGCCAAACUCUAAGCAAAAAGACCUUCCACUUUCCUUGCUAAUGGUGAGCAACUCAAAGAUGGCUACAAGGUUACACUCAAUAUUUACUCUCUGAAUAACAUAUUAUUUAUUUGACCAAUACAUGUAUAAAUGCCUUGAGAGAACAUGUAUAUAUAGCUGCAUAUAUGUUAUAUCUGAACAAUGGCAGAUUUGACCAUUAAUUACAUGUAUAUACUUGCUAGGAGAGAACGUGUAUAGCUUUCAGUUAAGCUUUUCGAUCAUUAAGCUGUUGCUUUCUCAUCUUAUUUCUAGGUAGAAACAUUAUUGGUGUUCUUUAGCUUAAUUUUGAAACAUGAACACCAUCAUGUCUUCAUCGCCGAAAGUGACGUUCUUUCCCAUUAAUCUGUGCACUCGAAAACUAUUCAAAUAUAUAUUUCCACUUGGUAGUUUUCGUAUGUCCAAUGGUUUGACGGGUGUGCAUUUUCAGGAGAGUUAGCAAAUCUUUUUCCAGUCAUCUGGUCCAUGUAGAUAACAAGUGCUAUUUGAAAUGAAAAUGCAGUUGGCUGCCAAUUUUAUCUUGUGUAUAUGACUGAAUUAUUUUGUCCUGUUAGUUUUAUGUCUAUAUAUGCAGUCUGGUGAAUAUAUGGAUAUUUUAUUAAGUGGAGAAGUUUGGUACUCUGAGUAAGCACUCGAUUCCUUGUUAGGUCCUGCUAGAUUGAUCUUUAAGGGAUCAUUUUAGUUCGUUCUUCGACCAAACACAUUACAAACGGGCAGGAAAUGAUUCUUUUCCGAUCCAUCUCGAUCUCCUUCCGAAUCAAUUCCUGAU
rnacentral:lncRNA from 1 species